GGCUGGAAGGGGGGCCGUUACACUGUAAGAGAGUGAGUAGCAGGUCUCACAGUGAACCGGUCUCUUUUCCUGCUGUGUCAUGCCACUCCGGAUGACUCCAGAGUAAGAGGGACAGAGGGGAAGCUGGGCUGGUGUGGUCUGGGAGAGAGCAGGAAUUGCGGUUGUCAAGGAGUUGUCGCAUUUCAAGGGAAUAAACAAUUCUGGUGUUUGAGAUUCAUUUAUUUAUUUAUUUCCUAUCUGUUUCUUCAGUGCACACCUUCCCUCAUAGCGUGUCUCAAACAGUAACUCCAGGCGUAGGAGGAGGAGGUGGAGGGGUGGGUUUUGUUUUUCCAGAUGUGCUGGGUAGAACAAAGCAUUCAUCAUUCGAUCUCAGUUUGGCAGAAACCCUUUAGAAUGGCAAAGCAGAUUCCCUGCAAUAGCCUUGAUAUGGAAGUCAUUUAAGAUGCAAGUCAAGAGCCCAGACAUGAGAUGCGAACAAGACUUAUGGGGUCAUCCAGCUUGUCAACCUAUCUCCGUAAUGUGACUGCUGGCAAUUUUGUUCCACUCUCUUAGGCGCUUAGGGAGACAAAGACACAGAAAACACAGCUAUAACUAAGCAAUUCAUUACUUUUUUUUUUUAUGCUGUUCUGUGUUCUAAUAAAAUUGGUGACAUUUUGGUCAGUGUCAGUGGUGACUGACUGUGUCUGCUUUCAUACCUUCAUUUUAUACAUUCCUGAGAGAGACGAGGGCGAAGUAUUGCACAAAGGUCAUCUGUCUCUUCUAGCUUCUCCUGUCUGACAGUCUGGUACCAUAUUUAUUAUCUCUAUAUAGUGGAUCCUUGAAACAAAGUGCAAAUCAACUUAGAUGGCAUUAUCUGCAUCUACUGUGUUGUUAUAAAACCAUAUUUAUUAGUUUAAUGCUACACCUAUAGCCUAGUGGAGAUUAUGGUAAGUGAUGUGCACAAGAGAUGGUCUGAUGUGUGAGUGAUGUUCCAGAGAAGAUCCACCUGUGUGAAAAUCCUAGUUUUAAAGAUACAUUGUAGCGCAGGAGCUGUUGAGUUCAGACAAUGCAGAGAUGCAAAUGCUAAUUUUGUUUCAGUGUUUACUGCAUAGUUUUCCUUACGUGUUUGGAAAACACGAGUCAAGGAGUUUUUUUAAAAUCUCUAGCACAUCAGUCUUUUCCCUGCAAUUCACUCUUUCAGCUGCCUGCUCAGUUGGAAGCAUUAUUUUUAUCUCUUGUUUAAAAAUGAAAACAUUGUGUCUACAGUUUACACUCCCUGCUGUGGUGAUGAUUUAAGUGUUUAUCUAUUCUCAGAUCUUGAGACAUGUCUGAGAACAAUUUUGCAAGCUAGUUCAUGCCUUUGGCCUCUGAUACAUCCUUUUCCCUAGUCAUGGUCCCAGCGUGUGGUAAGUGUGACAGGAAGCCGAUUGCAGUUCCCUACAGAUCUUGUUUUGGAGGUGGUGUAAGAAUUGUUCAGAUUUACAUUCCACUGCAUCUCUUGGCAUUUGGGAAACAAAUAGCUGUGUAUGACCAGAAAGUAGCAAUCUGCAAGCAAGUGUUCCAGACUUCCAUUUUCUUUCCCUCACAGACUUAGCUUCAGAUCAGCACAUGAGGAGCCAGGGAUAACAAGGGGCCGGAACAAGAAGCUAUCAUGGAAAAUAGUGUUUGUGAAACAGUGUAGUAUGGGAACACUGAGGAUGGGAAGGGUGAACAGAUGGGAAGGAGGCAGAUGAAAAGAUGAUUUCUGAAAUGGUUUCCCCAAAGACCUCACAUCACUUGCUGCUGCUUCGGAGAGAGGACGGCUGCGGUGCAGGCAGGCCCACGGGAGCCCAGCUGGCAGCCUGGACCUGCUGCUGGCUCCUACGGCAGGGCGAGCAAGGAGGCAACCUCAGCCUGGCAGCUCAGGAAAUAUUUUAUUAAAAUUAAAAGUUUGCCUGCCUGGAGGAGCUUUUGGAAGCUUUCAAAGCAACAAGAAAGAGUUCAGAUCUUACUUCCCCUACUUUGGGAUGCAGAGGUCAAAGUUUCAUCUAAUAUUAGUAAUUUGUUUUCAUUUUUGUUAGAAAAGGUCUCUUCAGGAUGAAGCGAUAUUGAUGACUUUUACAGCAAACAGCUAAAGUAAAAUGUCUGCACAGCAUCUGUGGUGGCUGAGGGAGCCUGUACUCUCUCGUGGAUCUGGAAGGAGAGCAAUAUUGAGUUAAAGUGGCUCCAGGCUAGAAAAAAGGAUGAGCUCACCUAAAAUUAGAUUAGAGUUCUGGCAGCAAUAAAUCAUUUGGAGAGAAGGCUGAAAACAUUUUGUGUGUUUAUUUGCCCUUUUUUUUUUAUUUGCCUAAGUGCUUAUGUGAGAACCUAAGUGGCCUAUUUCUGCCUAAGUGGCAGAAGCCUAGUACAGUGUCCCCCAUGAAGAUUUUUGUACAAAUGUCUGCCAUUUGAAUUAUGUUCAUUUCCGUUCAAGCCAAAAUGUGGUAUCACUGUAAACAGAAAUACCGUUUUAUCAUUCAUGCCAUUGUUGCUCUUCUUCAUUAUGCUUUUCUGCACCAUUUUUGUAUUCAGAGCUGCUCAGUGCAAAAUUUUUCAAAGUGUUGCCAUUGUGUGGGGCCAGGGUUGAGCUGGUGUCUGUCACACCACGGCGUACGUACGACAUCAUAGGUGGAGUCUUAUGGAGUGUUCAGGCAGGUAUUCUCAAAAACAGUAUGCUCAUUUUUCAAACCAUUUGGGUAUGCUGCUGUUUCCAUUUCUGCACUCUGUAACAGGUGAUACUGUGCAGUGCCCAGUUUUGUAAGCACAUGGAAGAAAAUAUUGUUUCUGUAUUUGCAUCUAGCAGUACUCUGUAAAUUGCAUGUCUGGCAUCAUCAGUAUUUCAUUCUUCAGUAAUUAUCUCUAUUUUGAUAGACUGAUCCUAGUUACUGUCUGAGUAGAAAAAUAGAGAUGUAUUGAUGAUAAAUCAGUAAUUAUUUCUAUUUUGUCAUGACAGAAGAAGUCAGCAAUGUUUUAUUUUAUAUCUGUGUCUCUAUUUUCUCCCAUUUUAGCAAAUGCUGAGCACUUUGAGGAUUUUUCUGAAGUGCUUCAUAAGUAUGAGCUGGAUAAAUACAUGAGUAUUAUCUUUGGAUAUGCAACUCUUCUUAUUUCUGUUCACAAAUGAGCAAGCAGCAACAAAUUACAUGAUUUUUUUUCAUUAUCUAGUUCAUUGUUGUAUGUUUGCCUCAUGUUCCAGAUAAUUUCAGAGUGAAGGAGAAAUUUUAUGGAUAAAAUAAUAUUUAUCUUCUUGCUUGGGCCUAGUUCUAAGAGGCUGUUAGCUUGAUUUAUCACGCAGUUGUAAGGUAAAUGUCUGUGGAGUGUGUUUUGCAUCAGCAAUGAAAUAAUCUUUUGCGGAGAUUAAAGCUAAGAUCUAUAGUACUUUGAUAGUAAGUUUUCCUGCCAAAACUUUAUACUAUAAUAUUUCAGACAAAAGAAGAUGUUAUUUGACAUAAUUUGUUGUUCUGUAAUUCUGGCAAUUAAUGUAAUGAUGUUAGGAUUUCUCAUACAUUCAAGAAUCAACAAAUAAUGCCAUUAUAACUUGCUUCAGGGCCCAGAUAUCAGGAGAAGACUCAGACAGCAUAGGAAAUCUCUCUUUUUUUUUUCCCUAAAAGCAACAGAUUUGCUUGUAGACAAAGAUGGUCCUUAUGUGAGGAAAGUAUAUAUCUGAACAUUGUGUGGAUGUACAGUCCUUUCUUAACCAGUGUUCAUGGAUCUUCUGUAAACAGCAAGUGUUUGUCUUGAAGAAAAGGUUCCUGAUGGAGAGGAGUAUUAUAAGUCUUUACAGCUUCCAGUAAAGUAGAAGAGAGCUAGUGGAGCCCCACUAUUGACGGAAAUGCUAGAAAGCCUUUCUGGAGUGACAGAGGCCAUCUCCAGCUCUGCUUCAGAUGAGCUCAUUACACAUAACUGCUGAUAAACUUCUUUUGAUCCGUGACAAGAUAUAACUGCUUUGGCCUUGUCAUUAAUUCAGGACACACAGAUGUGCUUACCAGUGUGUCAGAAUGGGAGGACGGUAAUAAUUGGAGGCAGGUAGAAUUUAUUAAACUUUCCCCAGUAAUAUGAGAAAAGCCUGGCACAUGGCUCUCCAUAGCACUGCCCAGGGAUGUGUGCUCUUCAAAGGACACCCCCUGAAGUACAGCUUGACUCUGAAGCCAGUCUUCAUCUAUGCUAGUACGUCAGAGGGCAGAAUUUAGCCCAAAGUGUCUUAAAAUAAUUUUUCAAUGCUUUACAUUAGUAAAACCCCACUGAGGGUUAAGACUUUGUCAUCACGGUUUUUCUGUGCUCUUUUUCCAAUGCUGCUCUGAGCCAUGGGAAGAGCAUGGCUUUUUCUGUGAGAUUGACCUGCUGUGAUCAGUGAACAAGUGUGCCCAGCAACUUGAUUCCCUCGCGGAAGGGGUGCUGCAGGUGGUGAUUGCAGUGUCCCCAUCCCAUUCUGGGUGUUAGCAGAGCUAAACCACAGCAGCUCUUGGGUCCCUUUGCCCACCGUGCUGAAGCCAUGCAGUAGGUGUGCCGUAGGUCCAUAGCCUGCAGCUUGCUUCAGUGCCUACAGCCUGGAAGCAGGAGGCACUUAUUUUCCAGCUUCCACCCAAGAGGUAGCAUCUAAAUUGUGACCCUCUGAGCCAGACUUUGUUCCAGAGCCAAUUUGUAAAUGCUUUGUAUGUCAGCUUUAGCUGGGAAGUCCCAACCUCUCUCACCAUUGUAACAUUAUCUUCCAAAGAGCCAAUGAAAAUACAGCUUUGAUGUGUUUCUUUUGGUGCUCAGAUGCCAUUGCAUGUGAGGUAUUAUCCUGAAAACCACAUUAUCACAAUAACUCAGGGCCUUUGGGCAUCUGAUGUUGCCAAUUGCUUUCACUUCUUGCUGGUAUGUAAUUUAUCACCAGUGUGGCCUACCCUGCUAAUAUGCACCCUUUGUGGGCAGAGGCGAAGCUAAUAUACUUUCAAAGUGUAUUUGAAUUGCUUCCAUAAAUCACAGCUGUCACUGUGAGCAGUUUUAUCACUUGCCAGAACAAUAUGUUAUGCUCAUGCUUUAUAGCCUUGGUACUAUUUUGAACUUAUAUUUGUCUAAAUUGUAAUGCAUCAUAACUUAUUUUAUCAAACAAAUUUGAGCAGCCCCAGGUUUUUUUAUUAUUAUUCUGUUUUUACAUGGAAACACUGUAAAGAAGAGAAUUUUUAUGGGACAUGCUUUAUAGUUGUAAUUAUUACUUUUUAUUAGUUAUUAGCUCUAAGAACACUAGAAGUUUGCUUUCUAUUUGUUAAUUUUCAUUCUUCUAAGAAGUUCAUGCAGCUGGGGCAGCUUUGUUUUUGUAGCUCAUCUCCUCUCUUACUCUGCUGUGUAGCAGGAAGAGCAGCUACAUGGCAGUCAUGAGCCAUGGAGUUGGAGAUGGGUAGGAGGAGCCUCAUUGCCUCAUAGAUUUUAUUUGCUAUCUGUGCAGAAUAUCCACCAAGUUAAUCAAUUGUGUGGAUUUAAAAUAAAAAGCCUUGUGAAAUCCAGAAGGCAAUUGCAGGCGAGCCAUCCUACCUGAGGAUGUUGUAGCAGGGCGGUCAUGAGUAGUAGGCAUAAUUAGUGCCUUCAUCUGGGAGUGCUUCCCCUGAGCCAUAAAAAGCAGCUGGGAGCAUGAGCAGCAUGAGCACUCAGAGCUGUGCCUGGCUCAGGUGUGGCCUGGGGAGUGGGACAGUUGUGCCUCAGCAUCCAGAGCCCCUCACCUGUACAAGGACCAGCUAUGCCCACACUGCCUGCCCUGUCCCAGGUGUGCGGAGCCGGGCUGCUCCCAUCUGUCAGCUCAGCCUCCUCACCAGGCUGGGUCCUGCUAACAUCACUGCAAACUCUGCACAGAUGCAAACUCAUCCAUCAUGUUUGUCUUCUUCUGCCAUAGUUGUAGAUCUCUUUGUGAGUGUGACCUGUGACUGGUUUAGGACUUCACCGCAAUAAGAGACUCUACUCAGCUCUUCUUUCUUGGGGAUGCUCUGACAUUAAAUGCACUGUUUCCAGAACAGUAAAAUAUCUCCUUUUUUACAGCCAUGCCUAAAAUACCAGUGAAUAUUUAUGAACCAAUUUGCAUGGCUUCUCCUGUGAUGGGAAAAAAAAAGUGUGGGUUUCUUUUUCUUUAAUUGAUGCAAUAGCUCAUUCCAGAAUAUGAGAACAAGGUCUAUAAAGUAGUCAGUUUUAUAAUUAGAAAAUUAUUUAUUUGCAGCAGAUAUAUUUGCUAAAAUGUGAGGAUUGCAGUUCUCUGUUUUUUAAUGUGAAAAAAAUAUGCUAAUUGUUUAAAAUUGAGCAGUAUCUCUAAUGGAAUUUUUUUAGGUGUAGAUCAAGUUUCUUGUCACGAGCAGUAGUCUAAAGGUAUGACUUAGGUUUGUCCUUUUACAGAAGUUAGUGUUUAUUCUCAAGGUUUGCACUCAGAAUGAGCAGUAGUUGCUAAAGAACAUUCUGCAGAUGUAUUUGCAGAUCCUGUGAUUUUCUCUUUUCAGAAAUUUUAGCUACACAAACAUUUUCAGCAAAUUGGCUAGGCACAUCAGCUACCACUUCAGAAAUGCAUGUUGUAAAUUUUACAUGAAGAGACAUUUUUGGCAGCUGCUUUGUGGUUUGACUUUGAGCAAUCCCAGAAAGGAUAUGUGAAAUCAGUUACUCCAUCCAGACCAUGUAAGCAAGAAACAAGUAUUUUAGCCUAGGGAUGAUUUGGAGGAUGGUACUGUAUUAAAUGCAAUGAUUGCUCAUGGAGGAAUUAAUAUAUAAUGAAUAUAUUCUUCUGCCCAUAUACAUAGAUUGUUUCAUAGGAUCAGAGGAACUAAGGGUGGAGGAUACUCCUGAUAUAUGUGAAAAGCAAAAAGCACUAAGAAACCUGGUUUUCCCACAGAAAACAUCUCUCCCACCUCAGCUGAGUCUGGGGAGCUGUCAGAUGUCUUUAGCAAGCAUUAUAAAGCCUCUGUAAACCCUUCCAGUUUAAUUUGAAAGCAUCAAUUUGUAUUGCUUUGCUGACAAAUUUCUGAUUCACCGACCUGUAGUUAAGAUAUUGCUCUGGCAGCUGACUCUUACUAUGCCCUCUUCCUCACCUUCCUGCCAGUAUUGACAGACUUAGAGCUCUGGGAAUGUGGCCCUACUCCUUGCAGGCACUGCCAGGAAAAAAAAAACAGAUCUUUUUUUUGGGGUCAAAGAAGCAUUCUUCAUCUAACUGAAAAUUUUGCAAAGCUCUGUGUGUAACUCUUAGCUAAUUCAGCACUUAAAGGUCUCUCCUUGUUAUAGAUUAUAUUGAAGAUCAGAUAUUUUUCCAUUGACUUUAUCAAUUGAAUAUAUAGCACUUUUCAGCACUGCUGGAUUUCAAAAUGUUUUAUGAAAAUGCCACCCCUCAAAACUUUAUUUUACAGAUGAGAAAACUAAUAAGCAGAAAGAAGAAGUAAUGCACUCAGAGUGUACUAGGUCCCAGGCAAGAAAAAAGCUAUCAAAAUUUAUGAUGUAUGCAAGGAAAAAGUUCUGCUGCUGCUGGCUCUCAAAUCUACCUUGACAACACACCCAGGCUGAUUUUCAGUAUUUAUGCUGAGUUGAAGGCUCCAUAUGUUUAUGGUCUUUAUUGUGUAUUUGCCAUCACUCUGAUUGCUUAGCUGGCAUCCAUCAGGAAUUCACACUUUGCAAAUACUUUUGGCCAUGAAGAUUGUAAACACAGCCUUGCUGGGGUUGCAAAAUAUUAAGUGUGCUGUGUGACAGCAAAUGUGCCGUGGCAGGUCUGCCCCAGUGAUUUCUGAGGGCGGACAUCACCCUGGAGAGACCCACAGCAGACAAAGCACAAAAAUUCAGAAAACUUUCCUACAUUUAAAUUUAUGCUAUGCUUUGGGGGAUUUUUGCUAAUGAAAGUAAAUUUUGCAUCAUUUAUAGUUGCACAGUUGCAGAUACCUUGAGAGGAGAUAAGGGGAUCAGGACUGAUCCUGUGGGUUUUUCAUAAAAGAGGUCUGCAUAAAAUGCUCUUGCUUGGAAGAUCAGUCUUCUCAGGCUGUUGCACUGGUUGAGUUAACCAACAACCUCUUCUGCAGCAAUAACACUGGACCAGCUAUAGUGGGCAUUUUCCAGCUAAUGUUCUGUGCAGUGAAAGCUGGGGAUGGAGGGGAGGUUUUGGUUCAUGUAGCUGAAUUGAGCCAUGUUCUGGCUGGACAUUAUGACAUCUGGUGACCAGGGGCCUGAUUCCAAGCUUUCCCAAGCCUGAAGAAAGACUGCCCCUAGCACAAGUGAGGCAGGGGUUGAGGGAGUGAUGCCUGCCCCUUUCCCAAGCACUGCUGUCAGCUUGUUGUCCAACUUGGUAGAAGCUUGGGAAUCAAUGCAGAAAAUAAGUGAUGUCUUCUAACUAAAGUCAGCUUCAUCCUCCCUCUCCUUUUCUCUUUCUUCAGCUCUCUUUGAGCCAAGAUUUCUUGGCACAGCUGUUCAGGAAAGCUUGCUGCUGAGUGUCAUUUCAAUUAAAUUCUUUUGUGAAUUAUGCAAGGAAUUUGUGACUCCAGGUGUUAAUCCUCUUGUUUUCAAAAGUGACACUAAACUCUCAGUGGAAAAGACAAAGGUGAAAGUUUACACACGCAAUGCAUUCCCUGUUUUCUUUUUUUUGUUUCUUUAUAUUUUUUGGAUGUUUAUAUUAUUCUGCAAGGGUUGAAAAUGCAUUUGCCUGUGAUGUGGAGAUAGACAGGCUUUGUGAAUUUAGCUGCCCGAUUCACCAAAAGAGUAUGUAAAACUGUAUGAACACAUUAUUUUGCACGUUCCUUGGCCAAUUGAAACAAAAACUCAAAUUCCUCUGAACUGAGACUCAUACCCCACACAUCCUCUACACCCAAGGCAAACUAAAAUACAAAACAAAAUUGCCUAUAGAUACUAAAACAGGAAAAAAAUGUUUUGGAAAUUGGUAAUGUUCUAUUUAGGAUGUCAAAGGGGAAUGUUUUUGACUUUUCCAGACAUUUUUUUCUUUUACUCACUUAUUCCCUUCUUCGUAAGAUGCACAGUUUGGCCACAGGGGAAGCUAACUGGGCACAGAUGACCACACCUGUGGUGUCCACUCUUCGCCUCCUUCCAAGAAAAAGCUUUAGCUGGGAGAUACAGCCCAGUUGUAGUGCAGUAAUCAAAUGUAUUGCUUUUGUACCUAUGUCAGAAUUGCAAUUAGUGUUUAUAUUUCUGCAAUUAUGUGGAAUGGAGUGGAUGCCCAAAACAGAUUCUGAUACUAAGUACUUACAAGCACUUUACAGGUCUUUUACUUCAUACUUCAAGGGCUAAAGGGAAGGGAGGGUCUCGAUGAUAGCAAUUGCUUUAGCAAAGGCUUCACCCAGUUACAUUAAGGCACUUUUAAUCAAGAAAGACAGGAAAUGUAAACUAGUGUCUGCAGUAAACUAAAUAGAAGGGUUGGUAAUUGCAAGGCAAACAUGAGUGGGAGCUCCCUGUGUCUGUGUCACAGAAGUGAAGUAAGGUAAACUCAUCCCUGAUUGCUAUUUGGUUUAUUAGUUGCCAGUAUCUCUUAGUACAUAGCCACUGCUUGGUCUGAUGGCUCUUUCAUACAGGCACAUACAAGUGCAAGGGCCAUGCAUUAAUGCAGGUUCAGUCCCACCUUGCUCCAUUUUUUCUCUUGUAGGUUGAGCAGUGGUUGUGCAGAAGGAUUUGAGAAAUUAAUUUGUUUCAUAUGUUAUAGAACUGAAUUUUAUUGGAACAGGACCUCUCUUUCCUUAAUUUCAUUGCUACCUGCCUGGUCAAGUUUUUCAGAAACCUUUUAAAGCAAUGAUAAGAAUAUAGUGUGAAUAAAUGUGCUUGUAUCUUUCCCACUGGAUCUUCAAGAUCUUCAAGAUAUUGAGCUCCCUGGUCCAGACAUGUAUUCAAGCCUGAAAAUCAUUGCUCUGAAAUCAAGAAAUUACCUUAUAUGCUUGAAAGUUGCACAAAUUCUCAAGGGCUGUGCUGUAUAGGGGCUGGAAUAACAUAGUGGUGUUGCAGGCAAGUGCUUCUAAUAUGGUACAGAGCUGGUUAAGGUUCAUUGCUAACCCCAGUAGUCUUUGGAUUGCAUUCUGCAUGGGUACACUUGGAAAAGAUGAGAUUUUUGCAGUUGGACCCAUAUGGGCAGACAUAUGCUCCAUCAAAGUCCUGUUGGCUUCAGUACCGUCCCUGCGUCUGUUUGCAUCGAGCUGGGGGCUGUAAUCUGCAGCUUGCUGUGUCCUUAUGUUAUAGGUAAACAAACAAACUCAUGGCUUUCUGUCUGUGACUUGGUACCUUUUGGUGUAUGCAGAAGCCAUGGGAAGGAAAAGUGCCAUCAGGCAGUGGCUGUGUCUUUGUUGCAGGCAGUAUUUACAGUUGAUGUUGUGUUAAUGAAAACUCUUCCCGAGGCUGAGACACAAAACAAAACCCAGCUUGCAAAGGUGAAAAAGCAGGGUUUGUUAGUGAUAUAGUGCUAGCAGUCAUUUACCCCAGUCUGCCCACAGUAAAAUGGAACACAGUGCAAUGAACAAUAUCAUCAGAACACUGCAGUCUUCUUCCAAUAGAGAGGAUGUGGGCAGGGCAGGAACCUGUACAUGGAGUUGUGUGGAAAAAAAACAGCUUGGCAGAGGCAGCCCAAGCCCAGGGACCGUCCAUCUCCACAACCCUGCUGGUGAGCAGCAGCCUGCCCAAGCAGUCCCUGCUCAGAAUAGGGGUCUGAGCACUCCACACAUAUUUUGGUGUAGUGCCAGAAGAGUAUUGUGUGGUUCUCCUUUUCUCUGGGUAAAUUAUUUCCCUUGGGUCCUUGUUUUUCUACCUGCAGUUGUCUUUUCUCUUCAGGAAUGCAUCGUUUUUGCUGUGUGACUAUUCCUUGAAGUUUGCACAAUAUCUGGCAUAUGGAGGUUCACUCUGAGCUUGUGCUUGUAGAUAUUUUAUCACUAUCAAGAGCUGAUGCCAAGAUAACAAGCUGAUAUCAAGAGCAAAGUUAUAGACAGAUUAAAACACAGGACUUAACAAUUUUUUUUUACUCUGACCUGCCAUUAUUUAUUAGGGGUCAGUCCAGAAAAUCAAACCAGAAGAGAUGAAUCUGCUGAAAUUCAGUGAAUCUGAAUGCCAGUGGUUUGCAGCUGGCAUGGAAAAUCUGAUCCUGCUCGUCUGUAUUUGUGCUUUUUUUGAAUCAUACUGAAUUUUGUUUUGGUGGUUAGCUGUCCCAUCGCACAGUUCCUUAGGGAUUUACUAAAAAAAUAUCAAUAGAUAUUUUAUAUAACUGUUAUUCAUAUCCAUGAACUGUUUUAUGUAAUACAAUGCAUAGACACAGGUACAUAUGGGCAGUAUUACAGCUGCUCUUCAUCUAAUGAGCAUGUCAUAUGCCAAAGGGUUCUGUAAACACUAAUGGGUUCUCACAUUGGUGUUUUAGUUGGACAUUAGCUGUUCAAAAACCUCCUAAAGAGGAGUUACAGCAGACCUCAUCAAUCUAACUCUCUGUGUCUACAGUAAGGGCUAGUACCAGAUUUGCAUCUGUUUCGGUCUUUAAGCCAUAAAUCUCCCUUAAGAGCAUCUUACAUUUUCUCCAAAAUUAUCUGUCUGCCUGCCCAUAGGUCUCAAUUGACUCUUCUUAAGGUUGUUGGGAUGGGUGGGCAGGAGCUGAGUGCAGGAUUAUUCCUGGAUGAUCCUUAGCACUAUUUUGGACCUCCCUGGUGAUGUGAGAACUGUGCACCAGCUUGCAAUACAUGCCUCCAGUGGCUUAGUUCUGUCAGGAUGAGAAGGUUUCACCCUUCUCAGAAUAAUGUAGUAUCCUCCCAGGUCCUGUAGUACCCUCCCUGCAGGCACCUCAGCUGGCUUUGGACAUCUGCAACACUCCAGUGUAAACCCUUGCUUGUGGUACUGGCCAAGGAGAAACUCUGUCUGAAGCUCGUUUCUCUAAAGCUGUUGAGCCUGUCAUUUGCUAGCUGGGUUACUUUUUUUUUACUUUUUUUUUUUUUUUCUUCUUUCUUGGUCUCCAGUAAAAUGUAGAAGCCUCAGAUUACAAAAACAGCUGCACAUGCUUUGGGUUAAUGCAUUUAAGUAAGGCUCCAGGGCCUGGGCAAGUGCCAAGAUCCUGGAUCAGCUGCUUUACCGGAAUUAGGCUGCUGUAAUGGAGCCCUGCAUUAUUGUGUUGCAAUUAUUUUGGAUUGCAGCUGGCUGUUCCCUGUGUUUUUUUACUGAAGUGAAAUAAAAGGAUUUGUCUUAAAAAUAGAAUUUUCUAUUCAGAAUCUUUCAGAAGCUUAGAGUUAUGUACCACGUCUGUAGGAUGUGCCCCUCUGUUUAUCUUUAGAUUUAUCUUGAAGGAGAAGAGCAAGAAAUAUUUGUCAUAGUUUUUGAAGAGCAGGAAGAGUGCUAAAAGGUCUCAAAACAUAAAAUGAAUGUGUAUUGGAAAGGAAAUAAAAUAAGUGAUUAAAGUGUCAUAUAUUUACAUGGGUUUAGGUUUUCAGAAAGAACAGGUUUAUUUUAGCAUCAAGCCACUUACUAGUAGCAAGUUCUUCUUAAAGCUGUCCCUAUAAUUUGAAAAUCCUUUGUAUAGAGAAGUAAAGGAAUGGAUACAGUUUUUAAUGUGAUGAAAAACAUUUCUCCAGCCUCGAGUCUCCUGUAUUUGUAUCCAUUCAAGCUCUUUUUGAUGCCUGUUUAUAUACAUUUCUUGUCAAAUAACAGCUCUCUCAGGUUCUCCAAUUGGUAGCAAAAGUAAACUGAAUGCAGUAAUUUAUCUUUGAACUGUUCAACUGUGCCCUUCUUCAUGUUCUCGUUAAUAAUGCCAGGUCUCCCAGGAGCACUCUCACACAAUUUUAUCACAUAAGCUUUUUGUUUGACCUUACCUGCUGUUCCCCUGGAAUAUAAGGGGGACAAAAAAACCCAAAAUGCCAGCCUGCCUUAAUUAAAAUUUUAGUCUCAGAAGAUGUUACAGUGUGUGAUUUCAUUAGGUAUAUAAUGAAAGUAUUUAAUCAUACCUCUUACUUGUCUGGGCCUUUUUACUCAGUAGUGAAGUCACAGAGUUUUAAACCAACUCUGUUCAGGUGUGGAAAGGUAACUGAGGGGUGGAUAUGCAUCUUUAAGUGAUUCAUAAAUUCAAUUUACCCAGGAUUUUGCAUGUUUGCCCUAAAGGUGGUUGCUUGGAUGAUGAAGUAGAAGGCACUAAAUAAAAGUUCAGCACUCUUUGCAAAAACAUUUUUUCACCCAUGGGACAGUGAAUAUGCAUAUAAAUGUUUUUUGAAAGAUAAUGCUAUUCCUCAUUUCCAGGUUGGAACUUAGCAUCAUAGAAAAAAGGUAAAAGAAUAUCUAUUCUUUUAAGGUAAUGGAUAUUUCUUUGACAUGUAAGAAGUGCUAAAUCUUACGUUGUGACAUGUGGUGUAACUUCCAUCAUUUCUCAUUGCCAUAAUCUAAAUCACCCCAACAGAAGGCUUUCUACCUCCCAGAUGAACUCAUUUGUUUUAUGCAGUGACUAUUCUCAAGGAAAAGUCUAUACAAAAAGCAGUCUUGGCUUUUGUAAAAAUGUACCUUUUUUAGUUUAUAUAGGAAAAGCAGAGUUAAAAAGUAUGUUUUUGAGGCUCUGAACCUGCACAUCUUUUGGACCAGGAGGAUUUGGUUUGCUAGGAAAAUUGUGUUAUUUCCCUAAUGUUUUUUUAAUCCCAUUUUGUUAGCAGUGGAGAACUGCUCCCAGUUGGCAUCAUUGUCUUUAGUAGCACGUGAAACUAUCAGUGCUUCAGAUGCUCUGUGCUUUGGGCUUCUUCCAGCCCCUGGAGGUGAAAAAAAAGUAAAAUCAAGAUUCAUAGAGCUUUUUGAGGAAGAAUAAAGCAAGUGGACAAGGAGGGGCAGUUCACCUGGGAAGAGGAACUUGCUAUGUGGGUGAUUUCAGAGCCAUUAUCCACAAAUAAAAAAUAAAAAUUAAAAAAAACCAAACAAAAACAAACAAAAACCCCCAAAACAAACCAACCAAACCAACAAAAACAAAACCAAAAAAACCCUAGUGUACCAGUGUAGCAUAUUUUCAUCAGUAGUUUUUACUGAAGCCAACAAAUAGGUUGGUCUGGAAUAAUUCAAAAUUGCAGGAAAUUUGCCAGUUUUAUUUCUUAUUCUGAAGCUGGCUGAAGACAUUUUUGCCCUAUUGCUUUCAUGGGAUUAGUAGCUUUGUAGGCCAGAGAGAGGAAAAGGUAGGGGGAAGACAGUCCAACUUCUUCUAUCCAGGAUUUGUGUUCUUUCUCUUGUGAAUAUAAAUCUUACUGGCUCAUAUCUUUGAUGCAUAUACAUCUUGUUGAGUUUCUUAAUGCAGCAGAAUACAGCUCUUUGUGUUUGAGUCUGACAACAAAUGCGGCUUUUGGUCUGGGAAGCAUGAAUGUGUUUUCUGCAAAGCUAUGGCAAAUUUAGGGACUCGGAUCUGUGGUUCUGGCAGCAAUUAUGUUUCAAGACUCAAAGUUCAACAUCCUGCAGUUUUAUAACCUCAGCUCUGCAGAGAAUUAUUUGAGUCACUGUCAUUGUAAUCGCUUUAGGAAUACAGGAAUACAUUUGCUGCAUUAUGUGUUUCCAGUGAAUGUAGCUGGAGUGCCAUUAGCUAAAAAUUGUUUUGAUCUCAAAAACGUGAAAGAAUCAAUGCCUCUAGUUUAAAAUUUUGAAAACAAAUCUAACAUAAUAACCUGUGGUUCCCCUGCAAGCUGUACUGUUGGAGUGGGAUGUACUUGUACCUGAAAUGAAAGAAGCCAAACUUGUGUUAAAAGGCUCCUCUUGUUUUUGGAGGGUCUGAGCUUGCCAAGUGCUGUGGGCAAAAUGAGUCUGUGUGCUGCUGUGGUUUUUGACAUGUGCUGUUUUAUGCGCUGCCUCGUACCUCCAUACCUUUUCUGUUGCUUCUUAAGACUUCCUUAUUUCAGGCAUAGGUAUUCUUGUUUGGCUUUUCCCCCCUUUGUAUGUGUGUGAAAACUAAGUAAAAUAAUUGCAUGGUCUUGUGUUUUGAGGGGAAAGGAAUGGAAUUUUAGCAUUCAGCUAUUAUGUACUUGUCCUUCUGGCUUGCAUGGUGUCCAGUUCACACCCAGAAAUUAUCUGUGAUGUUUUCAAGUAGAAUAUAAAGCUGAAAUAUCUUACUAGGUCAAGACUAUUUUUUUGUGUAUUCCAGAGAGAAAGCACAGUAGGAUAGACUGGGUCUAAUGGAUAGACCAACUGCAGCUGAUUUGCUUUGCAGUGUGCUUUGCACAAAAUUGUUUAUGAAGUGGUUUGAAUUUUAGCUGCACAAGAUGCAGUUUAAAUCUUCAGACUCACACAGAAAAUAACACCAGGAGGGAGACCUUAAUUAAUGUGCCUUCUGUCUGAGUCUUCCAAACUGCAGACACUUAGGGGUGAGGCUAAAAUAAAAAUUUGCUUACAUUUAUAGAUUAAUUUUACGUUCCAUGACAGUUCAGUCCAUCAUUUUCAGUGAAAAACUUGCCAGAUAAUGCUCAACUGCAUAACAAAAUAAAAAACAACCCCAAACCUUUUCCUCGGGUGGUUGGGCACCCAAUUCUAACACAUCACACCUGAACAUGAGAAGCCAGCAAGAGCACAAUGCCUUGGAGCUGCACUCCUCUAGAGGAAGCAGUGCGUAGGGGUGGUUUACAAUGUCAACAUAGGAGGCGAAACACCAACAACAUACUGGUUGCAGUCCAGUACUUGAGUAUCUCAUGCAAAGUCAGGAGGGACUGAUGGACCACUGGAACAAGAAGGGCUUUGUUCUGGCCACCAAAAACACUUGCCUGGAAUUCCUGCUCUCACUCAUGCUCAUUAUGUGGCUCCCACAACUUGGCCAACUGUCCUAUGCAAGAUUCCUCAAUUAGGCUGGCUUUCCUCCUGUUUUACAGGUAACCUUUAGGGUCUAUUUGAGAAUCCAAAGGUUCUUUGGGCUGCUUAGGGGUGUGGUUUAGUGGUGGAUGUACUCUAACACUAGUUAGAGCAAUGGCUGGACUUGAUGAUUUUAGAGGUCUUUUCCACCCUAAGCAAUUCUAUGAUUCAAUUCUGUAAUUCCAUUCUGUGACUCUAAGACAGUGUUCAAUCUUGCUGAACAUCUUGCUUCAGUUUUUUCCUCCUUCCAGUUUUGCAAAUACUUUGGGAUGGACCAGCUCAGAGCUUUUGGUAAAAAAGGAGGUUGUCAAAAACUUUACCAAAUGUAUUGUCUAUGAGUGGUAGUUCUACAAUGACAUUUUUUCUUCUCUGAUUAUAACUUAAUCAUGGACAUUGUAAAUUUGUAUUUUUAGAAAGUAGAAGCCACAUCUAUCCACUUUAAUACUUUGCCCAUAGCUUAUUUUAAAAAGUAAAGGAGAACGUAGCCUAGUAAAAUUGUGGGAAUAGAUAUCAACCAUAUUCUUCAGUCUACAAAGUCUACUGAGCACUACUCCAGCCCAGGUAAAGUAAACUAAAAUAGACCAGAAAUAUCCCUCUGAAUACCCACUGUACACAGGUGAACUCUGCCUGUGGAAUGAACUGGGUGGCAUUGCCAGCCUGUGAUUAAAGGGAGGAGAGGCUGGGGACAGGAUCCUGUCUCACAUGCAAAAGAUCAGUCCUUUUGCUUGGGAGGCACUAAAUAUGUUAAGAGCUAACUGGCUAACAUUUUCUUAAGUGUUUAAAAUCUGGAAUGUGUCAUUUAAUGGUCUGACUAAUACUGGACCAUGAGCAUAUUCUGAUAAUUUUUAUUACCAGAACUACUUAUUAAACUGAUUAAUACCUUCUAUCAAGAUGUCCAUCCUCAUUUUAGAGGUUUUAAGUGAUACAAAAGUUCUUCCACUCUCAGUAAAUUUCCUUCUUGUUAAUUAUAAGUCUGAUGAAACUUUGAAUUUUUUUUCUAAUCCGAAAUUUCUAGGUUUAUCUUCCAGACAUGUAAUUUUAUUAUACCAUUUUCUUGUCUGUUCAAGAACUAUUGUUACAUUUUAACCCCAGCCAACAACUCAGCUCCAUGCAGCUGCUUACUUGUUCUCCCCAGCUGCACAGAGAAGAGAAUCAGAAAAUUAAAAAUGAGCAAACUCAUGGUUUGAGAUAAAGACAGUUUAAUAGGGAAGCCAAAAGCUGUGUGUGCAAACAAAACAAAAAACAAAGAAACCAUUCACCACUUCCCAUGGGCAGACAGGUGUUCAGCCACCCCCAGGAAAGCAGGGCUCCUUCACACCUAAGAGUUAUUCAGGGAGAAAAAUGCCCACUCUGAGCAUUUCCCACUCCCUUCUUACCUCAGCUUUAUAUGCUGAGCAUGUCAUAUGGCAUGGGAAAUUCCUUUGUUCACCUGUGUCUCCUCCUGAAUUCUUUGUUCACUCCCAGCCUCCUUGCUGAUGGGAUGGUGUGAGAAGCAGAAAGUCUGAGUAAGCACCACUCAGCAGUAACUAAAAUAUCCCUGAAUUAUCAACUCUCUUUUCAGCACAAAUCCAAAACUUCCUCUCAUACUAGCUACUAGAAAGGAAAUUAUUUCUACCCUGGCCAAAACCAGUGCAUCUAUUUGCAGGUACUUCUUUUUCUUUUGAAUAAGUUGAGCAGAGUGAGCUCAUUAAGCCUUUCAGAAAGAGGUGUGCUUCCUGACCACAAGGACCAUGUUUUCAGCUUGGUUUUCAGCUCUUACAAGUUUUGGGGAGCCUUCUGCAAAUGUAAGCAACUUCUGUGUGCAGAAUUUGCUGUUAAAAUAUAUUCAAGGGCUUCACAGAGUCCACACCAAGAGUUGGUGCUUAUUCUCCUUGGCUUUUUCAUGUGAGCUCAAAUUCAGUCUCUUCCCAGUGCUCCUGGCAGUUGCUGCAGGGGCUGAACUGGUCUACACUGGGGGAGGGAGGGGAAAGGAAAGGGAGGAUGGCAUAGGGCAUCAGAAGGGCACUGCACUAAUUGCUGAGCAGGCAGGAGCACACCCAGAUUCUGUGCAGCAUUCCACCCGGCCCAGUCGCCUCUGCUUGAAGUUUCUCUUUUAAGUUUCUUUUGGACUUUUCUUGCCUAAGCCAUUGCAGUGUGUUUCUGAGGUACCUGAAUUUUAGGUGGCACUACACUGAGUAAUGCAGAAAGGGAGCAGGUGAGCUCUCAAAUCAUGUUGCAUCAAAAGCACUAUGAGUGGAUGUGUUUGCAUUGGCUGGGCGUGGGUGCAAGGAGUCUGUUCAAAUGGAAAGAGUACAAUAGGAUUUGCAGUUCAGGGACUCUCCCCUGCACUCGUCAGACACUCUUUACCCACAGUGCUGAUACACAUGUUCCCAACAUUGGUAACGCAUGCUUCAAAUCUGAAAUGAGCAAUGAAACAGUCCCUCCCACCAUGAAUGUGCCAUUCAUGAAGGAUGUAUGCUGAGGCCAGGAGAGCACCAGACACAUUUUAAUUGCAGCUCUGGGUGUAAAACUACUGGCAAAGGUGUAAAACUGCUGCAUUUUGUCUUUUGAGCUGCAUAGCCUCAUUAAGAAAGUGAAACAUUUGUGAGUCUUUCAUGCAGUCUUUCUCCCCUGCAAUGUUUAAGUUAGAUGACUUUCAGCAUGGUGAGGCAGGCUGUAAAGGUUCAGACAAUUACCUUGAUGAUAUGACGGCCUCUUCCAUUUCAGCUGGAAUCCAAGGCUCAUCUUUCCUCUGAGGCAUUUGUUGAAAUUCUGUGCACGAUUUGUUCCUCUGGUUGUUUAACAAUGUCUCUCAUGUUUGCCCUGAUUUAAAAAAUCCUCCUUUGUAGCAGAGAUAACAUAGAGCAGGAUGAUAUAAUUGCAGUAAAGAGGCCCUGGAGCUUGCAGUAAUAGGAUGGUUCAUCUGAUGUGUACUGCCAUUAGAAAAUAACCCACGUAUGUAUGUUCUCAGGGGACUGUAAAGAGGCUUUUAAGGAUUACUCUUCAUGUAGUAUGAAAGCUAAUGAGCAAAAGAGCAAGUGAAAAGAAAACUAUUGCUGCAUAAGCAUGUUGCCACUUCCUGUUCUCACUUUUCUUACACUUGUGUAGCUCCAAAAUGUCCACCUCUGCCCAGUAAUGGUUUCUCAUGCACUGCAGUCAGUUUCCAAGACUUUUGAGACUACAGUAUUAUUUCCAUGUCGCUGAAAAGUAAAUAGCACAUGAAAAGCAUGGUGUAGUUUAAGACUGUGCUGUGUGUGUACAAAUUAAGUAAUUUUGGUACAAAUGGCAAUCUCAUAGUCUGUGCUUGAGGAAAAGAAAAAAAAAUAAAGGAUAUAGUUUCACAAACAGUGCUAAAAGGUUGAUAUUAGUCUCAAUUCUCCCACCUCCAUUCUUUUUCCUGCUCAGAUUGCAGAAACAUACAAAGAUAUCCACAUCCAGUAAACACUGGAGGACCUGUUUCAAAUAUUACAUGGAGAAUUUGGGCUGCAGUGAUAAGAAAUUCAGAACAGCUGGUUUCUGGUAUUAACAACUUCUUGUUCAAAUGGAUUGCCACUUAUACUGCCAAUUGUUCUACUUUCAUUUGUGCUGAAACAGAAGCCAUAUAGCAGAACAGGUAUUGGCUUUUUUGUUUUGUCACAGCAUUUUUUUUCUUGCUUAUAAAGCUUGUAGAUAAAAAAAAUUAUUCACUUUUUAAUAUUCUCUGCCUCCGCUGUAAUGUUGGAAUAUACUUUUGUACUUUUGUACCUUGUCAUGUUUUUAGGUUCAAUAGAAUGGACAAACCUACAUCUUUCUUCAUGUAUUUAAUAUAAUAAAGGGUCGGGCUUUGCUAUCAGGUAAAAUUAAGUGGAUUUAUUGAGGAAGAUCUUGAAGAAGAUGCUGGGUUUUGACUAAAUGCUAUACUGGGUUCUACAGCAUGGUCUGGCAUCCAUAGCUUCAUUUAAUUCCAAACAGUACUGAUGAUUAAAAAAACAAAGUCCAUGAAUAUUAAGUAAGGAAAGAUGACAGCCGGCGUCUUUGCAAACAUACAUACAGGCCAGUAAACUUCUUAAACAUCCCCAUUUCUACUCACAAGUCAGGGCAUUAAAUAUUCAAGAAUGCCUCCUUCUGGACAAAGAAGGGACUUAUUUUCUCGUAAAUUCUUAGAGGAUUCAGGACACAGCCUAUUUGUUCCCAUCUAAUCAAAUUGGAAGCAUGUUAGAGUGCAUGUGAAGUAUUUGUAUUGAGGCUUUUCUGUGUGGUCAGAGCAUUGCAGAAGGCUUACACAAGGAGUGGGAAAAAGGUCUUAUUCUCACUUUCAGGGAUGUAACUGAUGUACUCAGCAGGUUGGGGCAGGGAUGAGGAGUGCACAUGUCCUAUGGUCAGGAGAAAUUGCUAAAGGCCUUGAAGAGUGUUGGCAUAAGAUUGUUAAAAUAAUAAUGCACAGUCCAGUGAACCUCAGCUCUUCAGCCUAUUUCUUUUUCAUAUUUCUGCACUUAAAAGCUGGAGUGGUUAUGUCAUGUACUAAGCAGUGCUUCCCAGUACAGAGGAGAUUUUCAGGUCUGGAUGUUUAUGUAUGCAUGUGUGUCAUUUGAACUAGAUGGUCUUUAAGGUCCCUUCCAACAAAACCCAUUCUAUGACUCUAUGUUUUUGUAAUAUCCCCAGGAGAUCAAGCCUAUACAUCCAUCAUACAGGUAGCUACUUCAACUUUUCCACGACUUUUUGUUUCAGUUUGAUAGUCAUAUCUGUCACAUUUGGAGAAUAUGGAACACAAAGCUGAGGUGAAGAUAGAGCUGUGUAUUUAAACACCCAGUAGGGCGUUUGCAGUAGUCUCAGAAAAGUAAUGUUAAUGCCAUCAUAUCUACUAGAGAUAACAGAAGGGCUGCUUUCUACUUGACCCCAGUGGUGUCUGUCUGUCUCUGCAGAGCACCAGUCUGCCACCCUGUGCUGGUGCAUUACAAUCCAGCUCUCUGAGCCCAAAUCCAGUGUUGGGUUACAUUCCAUAAAAGUGUCACUUGAUCCUUGGCUCACUAUCCAUCUAUGGUUCUUUACACUUCUGGGAUUUAACUUUAACAACUGGAGGUGAGAGGAGAUGAAUUUCGUGUUGCUGUUUCUGCUGUCAGUUGACACCCCUCUACUUAAACUUCUAGUCCUGCAAAUACCAGAAGAGCAAUACUAAAUUUUUUAUUUCUGUCCUUUAUCCCCUCCCCCCCAUAAUUGGUGUACUGGAGCAGAAGAGAACUUGGAAUUUUAUUAUUGCUGUAUAAGCCUUCUGUAAACUCAGUUACAGCAGUUCUGAUGUUGGUAAUUUUUAUGACUAAAAAAUAUGCUGACACAGUGUUUGGGCAUAGGAAAAGAGCAAAUCUGAAUGUAUAAUAAUCUGGUGAGUUUGGGCGAUGUUUAAUGCUAUGUCCCAGCCAAGUUAAUCACUCAUGGAAUUAUUUUUUUUUAAUAUUGGUCAGUUGACUGGAGACAUUAAUCUCUGGAAUAGCAUCUUUAAUGGAAAAUACUUGACCAGAAAUCUUAACAUUUCCCUGAAGAACAGAUUUAGAAGGAAAGCUAUCAACUGACAAUAGACCAGGAGAAACAGACAUUUGUUACUUAAUUUCUCUCACACAGUGAAGAAAUAUCCAGAUGAUGGUUUUCAUUUUGUGUAGUAUAUUGAACAAGUUACUCAUUAAUAUAAAUUGAGUAGACAUGACACAAUUUUUUCAUAGAAAGAUGACACAGAGUUGCUCCUUCUGGUAGUUCUUUGUCUGAAAUAUGCUAAUUGUAAAAACAUCACUACAGAGUUAAUAGUGCACUGCAUAACUGCAUGUUUAAAAUAUGAGUGCUAAAGAACACAGAAUGUGUUAAGGAGAAAUUAUUCAUAGAUUUAUAAUACCGAUAUCUGGCCGCAUUUUUCAAGGGCAGCAUCUUCCUGCAUAUUCCUUUCCUUUCCUGCUUUUUCUGUGAAGUUCUUAAUUGCUAAAUAUCACCAUCACCCAACCAGCCCAGUUCCAUCUGUCUAGGCUCAUUCCCAGGCAAAAUCGCAUUGCUGCUGCACAAAUUUUUUAUUUGUGCUUGCCUUCCCAUCCACACUGCUGCCUCAUUAGCGGCUUGGCUCUCUAGAUCAUACAGUCUUUGCCUAUUUCUCCAUUAGUCCUAGAGCAGCCAUCCCAGCAGAAAAUCUGCAGUACUGUGAUGACUUUGAACACAGAGUUAGUCACAUGUUAAAACAGAAGCAUCAGCUUCUCAUACUUGUUUAGUGUUCCUAUCGAGCAAUGGGGAGAAUAGUCCCUAAUUUAUUAUUUUCCUGCUUUGACACACAUGAAAAUAGUACAGUGGAUUAUUACCCUUAAUAUGCUCUAAUUGCAUAAAAAACCUUGCAAGUGAGAGCCAGUGUGUAUAGAGGUGUUCUUCUUGACUAAAUAAAGGCUUCUCUGUUUAUAUUGAGCUAGGGAGCUGCAUUACAAGGAAGGUAAGAGGGUAAGGUAAGAAUUGCAACCUGAAAGAAAUUGUCAGGUUAGGCCAUAAAGGCCAAAUGCUGAUGUCCUUGAAGUUGUUGGUAGUUUUGCCUCUGAGGAAGUAGCCAAAAGACAGUAGCACCCUGUGUCUCUUCAGGGCUUUACAUCCCUGUGCUGCAGUCAGACAGUCCUCCAGGUGGUCUCUGCCACAGUGUCAAAAAGCAUAAUGAAAGUGUGCUGCACACUCAAGUCAGCCUGCUAGGGGUGCCAGCUCAUGGCACUUGUUUAUUGCACUUCAGUUUUCAUUUCCAGUAAAUUUCUGCAGGAAUGAGUAAUUUUUUAACUAACGCAGAUAUAAAUGAUGGGAUCAUUUGCUGGACCUUGGAACUGUUGUAAUUUUGCCCCUACAAGCAGCAGGGUAUUUGAAGAUGUCUUUCCUC